rnacentral:lncRNA from 1 species
AUGGGGAGGGCCCCACCAGCGCCGCUCGGCGGAGCCCUGGGGCCGCGCCGGCUCGUCCCAACAUUGUUCAGCACCCCGCGUCAGCCUUGGCCGCGGCCCCUGGCGCGCGCCGGCCGCUUUUGGCCGCCUUGGCCCCGUCUGAACCCUGCGGGCCGCGGGCCAGGGCGGGCCGAGCGCCGCCGCACCGGGCCCCUCUCCCGACGCCUCCCGGCCGCCCGGGACGCUUCUCCCGGCCUCCCAGGCCCGCCUUGGGCCUCCCCCUACCCCGAUCCUCGCGCCGAUCGUCCACGGGUGCAAAACCCUGGGGCUGGGCUUACGGGUUUGCGGGCGUGUGCGCGCCGGGGGCUCCCUGCGCGCGCCGCCGCUCCCUACAGGGACGCGCGCAGGGGGCUGCCCCACCGAGCCCAUGCCUGGCGCCCAGGGGUCCACCCUGACCUUGGGCUCAGUGCUCCUGGGCGCGCGGGCGGGAGCCGAAGGGCCGCGGCAGGGCGGAGAGGCCUGUGGCCGCUCUGGUAUCUUCGGGCGCACAGGUUCUGGAGAGCCCUGCGCGCCCCUCGGGGCUCCAGCCGGCGAGGUUCCAGAUGUGUGCAGCUGUGCAGCGUGCGGGCUUCCCCCUCGGUGGGGGCCGAGUCAGAAGCGGCCCCUGCUGCUCUCUGUGUGAACCGGGGUCGGUGUUACCCACUUUUUGCAGAUGAAGUGAGAUCCAUCCACGCCUGCCAAGGUUACACCAGGGCUGAGUGGGGACCUGUGACUUGAAAUUAUCUCUAAUUCCAGAGACUGGACUGUGAGAAUUUGAUGGGAAACAGAAUUUUUAAGAUGCAAAAGAGUGGUAGACACUAUUCUCUUCCACCUUCCUCGGUGCCUGGAGUCCCACCCGCAGGCAUGACCCUUCCGCCUCCCGAACUCCACAGCGACCCUUCCUUAGGAUAGCUGGUGAAGAGGCAGGGGUUCAGGGUGGGGACCCCCGACAGUAAGCCUCGCCUGGAGCCAGAACCAGAGGGGGGCCUCGCCCUCUUCCAUCCACAUCCUUUGCGGUGUUUUUGAAAAACCAGAUUCACUGCUGUGGGGUUUCCUCUCCACCUUCAGUUGGGCAAAAGGAUUUCCUCCUGUGUGUAGAGGGAGGAAGUGGCCCAUGGUGGUCCACACAGUCAUUCUGGACCACCCCUCCCCAGAGCCCACCCACCACCGGGACCCUUGGGAGUCUGAAAGUGCCUCAACUUCCUCAUCUGUGCUCCAGCGUUCACUUUGCUGAUAAAAUGGUCGGGAUGCUGAAGAAAAAAGGGCCUGGGUGCCAGAGAAAUCUGGGUGCUAGUCCUUGGCAAAACGAAAACUUCUAGCAAUACCACAACCGGUCUUGCCUCACCCCGGGAGAGUUGUGGUGAGACUCAAAAUGGAUACUGGCACACCAGUGCUUCGGGAAGUGUGAAAUGCCUCACACGUUCACACAAGGCGCUGGGAACAACAGGGAUAUAAAAAUGAAUGCCAUCUGGGAAUCUUCCAGGCCAGCAGGGGAAAUAAAAAUGGCUAUACACAUAGUCA